AUGAGUUAUUUACACGGGGAUUAUGGUUUAUCCUUCCGGCCUGGCCAGCGUUCCNCCCAGAGGGAGGAGGAGGAGGAGGAAGGGGAGAGCUGCAGCCCCAGGAGCCGGGGCAGGAACCUGCUCUGGGCUGGGUCCAUCCAUCCCCAGAGGCUGUGGGGAGGGAGAGCUGCAGCCCCAGAGCAUGAGAAGGAGAGAGCUGCAGCCCCAGAGGAUCAGAAGGGAGAGCUGCAGCCCCAGACCAUGGGAAGGAGGGGAGAGCUGCAGCCCCAGAGGAUGGGAAGGAAGGAGAGAGCUGCAGCCCCAGCCCAUGCCCUAGACCAUGAGAAGGGGAGAGCUGCAGCCCCAGACCAUGAGAAGGAAGGAGAGAGCUGCAGCCCCAGCCCAUGGGAAGGAAGGAGAGAGCUGCAGCCCCAGCCCAUGGGAAGGAAGGAGAGAGCUGCAGCCCCAGCCCAUGGGAAGGAAGGAGAGCUGCAGCCCCAGCGGAUGCCCUAGACCAUGAAGCGAUGCUCCUUGCCGUCGUGGGCCAUGAGGAUGACGUUGCGGUUGGAGGUCCAGAUGAGCCGGGCCAGGCGCAGCGCGCCGAGCGAGCCGGGCGACGCCGGCUGCACCGGGGGCACCUGGAACGUCUUGACACAGCGCAGCUGCGGGGCCGAGUUCAGCAUCCCAAUGCUGCCCAGCAGAGAGGUGUUCAUCUGGGGGAGAGACACUGGGAGCUCAUCCCAAACCCCACAUCCUGAAUAAUCCUGAAUAACCCUGAAUAANGCUGGACCAAGGCCAGGAAUCCUCCCUGGCGCCCCGGGACCAUCCCCAUCCUCCUGCCUCUGCCCCCUCCCACCAGCACCACCCUCGCUCUUUGCUCCUGGAAUGAAGUUCCCAGGAAUUUUUCCAUGGCCAUUUUAACCCAUUUUCUGCCCGAAUCCAUUUUGUUUGAUAUAAAAUUAUAUAUAUUAUAAUCCUGUGCGGAUUCCAGGAUGACUCCCAGGCUGGAAACCGUGAGUAGCUCUGCAGGAGUGAGUAAAUGCCUGUUUAAGGUUAUUUACAUCAAUAAAUAAAUAUUUACCCCUCUUUAAGCGUCUCGA
rnacentral:lncRNA from 1 species